rnacentral:lncRNA from 1 species
GGGCCCAAAAAUAAAAGAAAUACUUAAAGUAAUUGAACCAGAGUUCUGAAAUAAACCUAUGAAAAUAUAACUAUUGAAAUAUAAAUGCGGAAGAAAACUGAAUUGUUCCCUAUGGCGAUCUAUGAUCACUUCUUAUCAUUCGCUAUUAUGCCCUUGCCUCUACCCUUACCUGAAAUUAAACAUUUAAAAGAGUGAGUAUAAAUUUAUACUUAGUAAGAGACCCAUAGUGGUCUCACUAUGUGUCUGUUAACCUUUCGUUAGAGUCCUGUAACAUGUACCGCAUACUAUUGCGCUCCCGAACGCAUACUAUCAAGUGGUUCCAUAGGGACACAUCUAGGCUCUCGGUGAACCCGAAGGAAUCAUC